AGUGAACGCUGGCGGUAGGCCUAACACAUGCAAGUCGAACGGCAGCACAGUAAGAGCUUGCUCUUACGGGUGGCGAGUGGCGGACGGGUGAGGAAUACAUCGGAAUCUACUUUUUCGUGGGGGAUAACGUAGGGAAACUUACGCUAAUACCGCAUACGACCUACGGGUGAAAGCAGGGGAUCUUCGGACCUUGCGCGAGUGAAUGAGCCGAUGUCGGAUUAGCUAGUUGGCGGGGUAAAGGCCCACCAAGGCGACGAUCCGUAGCUGGUCUGAGAGGAUGAUCAGCCACACUGGAACUGAGACACGGUCCAGACUCCUACGGGAGGCAGCAGUGGGGAAUAUUGGACAAUGGGCGCAAGCCUGAUCCAGCCAUACCGCGUGUGUGAAGAAGGCCUUCGGGUUGUAAAGCCCUUUUGUUGGGAAAGAAAAGCAGCAGGUUAAUACCCCGCUGUUCUGACGGUACCCACAGAAUAAGCACCGGCUAACUUCGUG
rnacentral:rRNA from 1 species